GGUUCAAUGGUGUAGUUGGUUAUCACGUCCGUCUCACAUUAUGUUGUAUUAGUUUCGAUGGCACGGGAGGUCUCCGGUUCGAGCCCGGAUUGAACCA